AGAGUUUGAUCAUGGCUCAGGGUGAACGCUGGCGGCGCGCCUAAUGCAUGCAAGUCGAGCGUGCCCUGGUGGCUUCGGCCAUCAGGGAAAGCGGCAGACGGCUGAGUAACGCGUGAGUAACCUGCCCUCUGGUGGGGUAUAGCCGCGAGAAAUCGCGGUUAAUCCCGCAUAAGAUCUCCAGGCCUUGGUUUGGAGAUGAAAGCCUUCGGGCGCCGGAGGAGGGGCUCGCGUCCUAUCAGGUAGUUGGUGAGGUAACGGCCCACCAAGCCGAUGACGGGUAGCUGGUCUUAGAGGACGACCAGCCAGAGGGGGACUGAGACACGGCCCCCACUCCUACGGGAGGCAGCAGCAGGGAAUCUUGGGCAAUGGGCGAAAGCCUGACCCAGCGACGUCGCGUGGAGGAAGAAGGCCUUCGGGCUGUAAACUCCUUUUCCAAGGGAAGAGUAAGGACGGUACCUUGGGAAUAAGCUCCGGCUAACUACGUGCCAGCAGCCGCGGUAAUACGUAGGGAGCGAGCGUUACCCGGAAUCACUGGGCGUAAAGAGCGCGUAGGCGGCUGGGUAAGUCUCUUGUGAAAGCUCCCGGCUUAACUGGGAGAGGUCAAGGGAUACUACCUGACUAGAGGGCAGUAGAGGAAAGCGGAAUUCCCGGUGUAGCGGUGAAAUGCGUAGAUAUCAGGAGGAACACCAGUGGCGAAAGCGGCUUUCUGGGCUGUACCUGACGCUGAGGCGCGAGAGCGUGGGGAGCAAACUGGAUUAGAUACCCUCGUAGUCC
rnacentral:rRNA from 1 species